rnacentral:misc_RNA from 1 species
AGCAGCCGCGGUAAUUCCAGCUCCAAUAGCGUAUAUUAAAGUUGUUGCAGUUAAAAAGCUCGUAGUUGAAUUUCGAGAUCAAAUUGUUGGUCGUGCCUUGGUACGCACUGGCAUUAUUGGUUUCUCCCUUCUGACGAACCAUGAUGUCAUUAAUUUGGUGUCUUGGGGAAUCAGGACUGUUACUUUGAAAAAUUAGAGUGUUUAAAGCAGGCUCACGCUUGAAUACAUUAGCAUGGAAUAAUGAAAUAGGACGUUUGAUUCUAUUUUGUUGGUUUCUAGGAUCGACGUAAUGAUUAAUAGGGAUAGUUGGGGGCAUUAGUAUUCAAUUGUCAGAGGUGAAAUUCUUGGAUUUAUUGAAGACUAACUACUGCGAAAGCAUUUGCCAAGGAUGUUUUCAUUAAUCAAGAACGAAAGUUAGGGGAUCGAAGACGAUCAGAUACCGUCGUAGUCUUAACCAUAA